rnacentral:rRNA from 1 species
GAGCAUAUCAAUAAGCGGAGGAAAAGAAACCAACAGGGAUUGCCUCAGUAACGGCGAGUGAAGCGGCAACAGCUCAAAUUUGAAAUCUGGCCCUAGGCCCGAGUUGUAAUUUGCAGAGGAUGCUUUUGGUGCGGUGCCUUCCAAGUUCCCUAGAACGGGACGCCAGAGAGGGUGAGAGCCCCGUACAGUUGGACACCAAGCCUUUGUAAAGCUCCUUCGACGAGUCGAGUAGUUUGGGAAUGCUGCUCAAAAUGGGAGGUAUAUUUCUUCUAAAGCUAAAUACCGGCCAGAGACCGAUAGCGCACAAGUAGAGUGAUCGAAAGAUGAAAAGCACUUUGAAAAGAGGGUUAAACAGCACGUGAAAUUGUUAAAAGGGAAGCGCUUGUGACCAGACUUGCGUCCGGUGAAUCACCCAGCUCUCGCGGCUGGGGCACUUCGCCGGCUCAGGCCAGCAUCAGCUCGCUGUCGGGGACAAAAGCUUCAGGAACGUAGCUCUCUUCGGGGAGUGUUAUAGCCUGUUGCAUAAUACCCUUCGGCGGGCUGAGGUACGCGCUCCGCAAGGAUGCUGGCAUAAUGGUCAUCAGCGACCCGUCUUGAAACACGGACCAAGGAGUCAACCUUAUGUGCGAGUGUUCGGGUGUCAAACCCCUACGCGUAAUGAAAGUGAACGCAGGUGAGAGCUUCGGCGCAUCAUCGACCGAUCCUGAUGUUCUCGGAUGGAUUUGAGUAAGAGCAUAUAGGGUUGGACCCGAAAGAAGGUGAACUAUGCGUGUAUAGGGUGAAGCCAGAGGAAACUCUGGUGGAGGCUCGCAGCGGUUCUGACGUGCAAAUCGAUCGUCAAAUAUGCGCAUGGGGGCGAAAGACUAAUUGAACCUUCUAGUAGCGGUUCGCG